GAUGAACGCUGGCGGCGUGCCUAAUACAUGCAAGUCGAGCGAACGGACGAGAAGCUUGCUUCUCUGAUGUUAGCGGCGGACGGGUGAGUAACACGUGGAUAACCUACCUAUAAGACUGGGAUAACUUCGGGAAACCGGAGCUAAUACCGGAUGAUAUUUUGAACCGCAUGGUUCAAAAGUGAAAGACGGUCUUGCUGUCACUUAUAGAUGGAUCCGCGCUGCAUUAGCUAGUUGGUAAGGUAACGGCCUACCAAGGCAACGAUGCAUAGCCGACCUGAGAGGACGAUCAGCCACACUGGAACUGAGACACGGUCCAGACUCCUACGGGAGGCAGCAGUAGGGAAUCUUCCGCAAUGGGCGAAAGCCUGACGGAGCAACGCCGCGUGGGUGAUGAAGGUCUUCGGAUCGUAAAACUCUGUUAUUAGGGAAGAACAUAUGUGUAAGUAACUGUGCACAUCUUGACGGUACCUAAUCAGAAAGCCACGGCUAACUACGUG
rnacentral:rRNA from 1 species